CCUCCCUUCACUGCCGGUGAACAACUGAACAAAGUCACUUUUUCCUCCUUUCACUGCCUGCGGUUCGUUCCUCAAGCUGCCGUCCUGUUUAGUUGCAAUCCAAGUGUGUGUGUGAAUGAGAGAGAGGGCGCCAUGUUUUAAGGGGGUGAUGACGCGGUUGGCCUGGACUGAAAGAAUAGCUCUUCCAGCUCACAAGCGAAGCUAGUAUGACGAAUGGAAUGAGGCAAGACAUGCUACACAAUGCUCAGCACACUUGUGCACGCAUGCGCACAUCGGUUAACAGCGGACUUUUACUAUAAGAUCCCGGACACUUCUUUGGGCUACGUCUGCCCGAUUUAUUCGAAAUGAAGCAAAAAAAACUUAACUUGGCCCUGCAGAGUAAGUGAAGAGAAAGGCGAAAAUGAGCACCAUGCUGCAGUACGACAACCAGAUGGCGUAAUGCUAGGUAAGAAACAAGGGGGGAAAUCACAGUUAUUGCUUGAACAUUCUCAAACCGCCAUGAUUUGUCAAACUUACCUGAAAAUAGAGAGUGAUGGUGAGGAUGAUGAAUAUAACAGACGUAGUCGCGUAUCCUGCGAGCAGCAGGACUUUCUUUCCCAUCUUCUGAAUGAUCAAGAACUGUAAUGUAAAGCACACAACAAUGUGAAUCAAUUGUUGUGGUACAAUGAUGAUUACACGGAGAGAAACUACCACAAGAUGGGGCUAUAAUCACACUACCACUUGAUUUGAGCCUUUUUAGGACGUGACAGGGCCAUGUAAAAAGGGUUACGACACUCUUUGAUCUCACCGCGGGUGGUCACGUGGUUCAUGUAGGCCGUGAGUAGUUCCAAGCACAAGCAGCGCUGUAGUGGUUUUCAAUGGACCUGACCGCGGUAAUUGCGACACUUAUGGAAAAAUGGAUAAAAUUGCGUAUCUAAGUACUUGUUUGAUUAUGUCAUUGCCAGUGUUGUUCAUAACAGUGUUGGAAUAUAACGGCGUUACUAACGGCGUUAUUUUUUCCAGUGGUGAGUAAUCUAAUUAAUUACUUUUCUCAUCUUGGCAACGCCGUUUAUUUAUUUAUUUAUUUAGUUUUCCCUUCAGGCAUGACAAAUCCAAACAAACAUACAGCAUUUAUAUAUGUUUACAAUUAAUUCAACCCAAAAAGAAAAGGGCAGACGGGAGUAGCCGAAGCUUAUUGAAACCCGUCCCCAGUAUGCCAUAUAGGACGCAGAAAAUAUCAAAUAUCAAUUUUUGACAUUCAGAUUUCGUAGUGAUGAAAAGUUUUUUGUUUGUUUUUUUUUUUUUUAUAGUAACCAUCCCCUCUGAUUGUUCAUUUUCCCAAUAGUCCAUUGUCGAUCGUGGCAAUGUUGUUUAGAUUCAGUAGAUUAGUUCAUAAUUCAGUAGUUAGUUUAUUCAGCUGAUUAGAUCCAGAAGAUAAGGAAUAGCUGAGGACCGAUGGUAGGCCGUGUCCGCCACCCUCCUUUUGUUGGCUUAAUCCUCAUAGCAGUUUUCAUUCUGACUCCUGAUGAACAUUCAUCUCAAGGUUGCGCAGCUUCGUGGUAGGUUGCAUCGCCAUUCAGGUUGUGGACUCAUGGCCUGGGGGACUGGCGUCGCUAGGUCCUUCAUAAGGAUCAUCCCAGCGAUCACUGUCCCACCUGGCACAAUCAGAAGAGUAGCUGCCAGCAGCGCACCAAAAGGAAACAUCCUCGAUAUCGUUCCACUUCGAGUGUGUUCAGACACAACGGCCGCCAUCUACCCCAGCUAUCCUCCACAAUAUCCAGACUUUAAGGUGUUUUCCGGGCAGCUGUCAUUUAACUGUUUGCUCAUUGAUCAGGGCAAGAUUGUCUGAUUUGUUAAAGGAGGAAUAGCUGAGGAAUGAAAACCUCUUCCACUUCCUCGAUGUGGCGCGGUCGGUCAAACAUAUGGGCCUCCAUUUCCCCCAGCCGUCCUCCGUAAAAUCUCGACGUGAGAGUGUUGGCCGGACAUGGGCGUUGGCUCGAUGUAGGUCGCAUUGUUGAGAAAAAGAAUAGUCCAGUGUCCAUAGAUCAGUUUAGUAACGCCAUUGUACACAGUGGUUACAGAUUUAAUCAAGGUGGACAACAUUCACGUAUGUCAGCACUUGAAUGUUUUGUCUUUGCGACAGAACUGUUUAUAAGGGAAUGUUAUGAUUACCAUUAUCUUUAACCCCUGAAGUUCCUUCACUUUUGUUAUGGGAACACUGUGUGGUGUCUGUGUGUCUGGCAGAACGCCUUUGUUUGACGCUCAUUCUGUUGAUUUACAAAACUUGGAGGUCAAUCACAGUAGCGACUAAGAAUACUACCCUUAUAUUUUCUUUUAAAUGCUGCUAGGGACCGUAUGUUGGUUAGUGCAGGGUCAAGAGCAUUCCAGAGGCGAAUGCUGCUAGGGACCGUAUGUUGGUUAGUGCAGGGUCAAGAGCAUUCCAGAGGCGAGCGCCUUUGUUGGUAAUCGAAAAAGAUUUUGAGGUGGUUCUAACUUGAGCAUAGGUAAACACAUUGUUCCCUCUCAAAUCAUAAGUCGAUUCCCUCUCUUGGAAGUGAAUUUGUAGGUUGUACGGAAGACAAUUUGUAUGGGCCUUGUACAUCAUCUGAACAGUUUAACCUGUGGUAAUAUAUUAAAGAUAGCGCCAUGUAUAACCAGUGUUGGGAAUAACGCCGUUAUAAAUAACACCGUUACAUGACGGCGUUAUUUUUUUUUUCAUUAACGGGGUAAUCUAACUAAUUAUUUUUUCCGCUGUUACAAUGCCGUUACCGUUACUGACGGUCAACAGCGGUGCGUUACUUACUCUGAAUAAAUUGAAGAAACUACCAGCCGCAGCAAGUCUACUCUGCUCUGUUUAUUUGUCAUCCAAGACUUGGGAUGCGUCCAGGUUCGAGAAUAGCGCACGUACUUCUUAUGACUCCAGGCUGUUUGUCCCUGCUCAUUCAAUUAGACAAUGCUUUCCAAAGCUUGCUAACGUUUCUGUGUUUGCUACACCUGAAUGCUAUCCUCGUUCCCAUCUCCCACUGUCUGCCAGCAAGAAUGCUGCUUCCAUUUUGAGGACGGCAGACGCUUUGAGAGUGACGGGAGGAGUAAGGGGACGAGGCUACCUGAAUGCACCCCCUGGAUAGAUGCGAUGGAAGUGAUUGUGAUUGGCUGAGGGUUAGAGUCAUGUGUCAUGGAAUGCCUGCUGCACGAAAUACGUCAUAAGAAUAGAAGUACACCUGCGGUGAAGAGUGACAGCAUGGGUUUAUUUACAAAGGUAAGAAUAAUUUUCUGCAAAGACUUCUUGAAUCAUUUACAAUAUUCCCUGGCAAAGGAACUCGCUUUAGUAUUGACACAAACGUCUUUUUAUGAUUGCUUGAAAUUGUUGAACAUUUAAAUGUUCCAUGCCAUCCAUAUGUUUGUUUGGUUUGAUGAAUAUUUGAAAUCACAUUAGAAAAAAGACAAGUGCGGGGAGAUGGAUUUAUCAAAAGAAGAAAAUAUAAAUAAUACAAAAAAGUGUUUGAAACAAAAGAGUAUUGGCAAUUGAGAACUAUUACAGUGUGUUUUUCAGUCUUCUGAUUGCCAUUAAAAGUCCACCUUUUGUCAAGGUGGGGUUUUAGUUGCCAAAGUCAUAUUUUCAGAGAUUUUUCUCUUGUUUUUACUAUCAUCUUAAUAGCAGUGACGUCCUCCCUUCUUAACACUUCACCUACUUUCCCCCCAUUAAAAUGAAAAUGAAUGAAACACUGCUGUGAAGUAUGGAGUAAAACACACAUAAAAGAUAAUUCGAUCACAAAACGAAGUUGAAAAUUUAAAAGAAUGGCGAAGGCAAAAAUACUUAAAGAAGAAAUACCGUAUUGGCCCGAAUAUAAAACGGCCCUGAUUAUAAGACGACCCCCUCUUUUUCAAGACUCAAGUUUUAAGAAAAGACUUUUUGAACACCAAAUUAAUUUUUAUACAGAAAAUAAUUACAGUACAUCUGAAACAACUGAUUAUAACAAUAUAUUCGAGAGAAAAAGCAUGUUAUUUUGCCUCAUUCAAAUCUUAAUAUCUGAACAUUUAAAUAUGUAAACUAAAGUGCAAUCACAUUCGUAAAUGAAUGGCUUCGGGUUUUUGAAAUGUAAAUAAACCAGUCUUGAAACAAAUCUGAAUAAGGAAAAACAUUGCAAUAAAAUAAUGCAAACUGGUUAAACUUGAGAGUAGCUGAGAUCUGUCAUGACAGAACAUCGCUUCAAUGAUAUCUGGCGCCAUCUAGCGUCGUGAAUGGAUACAAUGUCUAGACCGCGAAUAUUAGACAACCCCCACUUUUUCGGUCUUAUUUCAAUGCAAAAAAACACCGUCUUAUAUUCGGGCCAAUGCGGUAUGUAAAAUAAUUACCCUGAAAUAUAAAUGUAAAAAAAAAAAAGUUGUAAAAUCAAGAUUAGCUAUUGUAUUUUGUUAUGUCUGAAAUGUACACAUGGAGUAAAAUAUCAAUUUGGAAUGUUGUUGAACUCAAUGUAUUCAAGAUACGGAAGUGCAGAGCUGCCAGUGUUAGUGAAACUUUUCAAUGAGGGCUUUCUCAUUUUAAUGUAUUGACAACUCGUUUCAACCUCUUGCUAACCUCGUCUUAACGUAUUUCUAACCUUAGUUAGAAAGUUCAAAUACUUUUCAUACCACUGUACGUUGGAACAUGAUUAGUACUACGUCAAAACGAGGUUACCAAUACGUUAAAAUGAGAUCUUAAUAGGUUAAAACGAGAUUAGCAAUACAUUAAUAUGACGUUAGCAAUAGGUUGAAACGAGUUGUCAAUAGGUUAAAACGAGAAAACCCUGGUAGCAAUGCUUCACUAACACUGGCAGCGCUGCGCUUCCGUACAAUAGCAGUUAAAAUGUUGUUUCAGCAGGGCAUCAAGUCUGUGCUAUAUAAAAAUGUAAGGACAAUCAUUAUAACGAUUUACAUUCUGUCACUCACUGCGUUCAUGCCAGAAAGUUGUAACGAGAAGUAGGUGAUGCUGGCUGUCGCCAGCUGCCAGCGAACGCUUUUUUCCCGAAAUAGCUCCAUCACAGAGCGACUUCUGACGUUCUGGAGGGCCAUUUUCUCCUUCAAUAUCUCUUCCACUUCCGUGCUGUGGUCCUUGUUACCCCAAAGCCUCAACAAAGCUAAUUGGAAAUGACGUAACCAAGAUGUGACUUUGGUGGAAGAACUCUUUGUGCUUGUGCCUGCAAAACAAAUGAUUUUGAACAUGCGGUCGCACCUUUCUCGCAGGCCUGUCGGUCUCCUCGGUUCAGCAGCAAGAAUUUUGGAGAUUCCGGUAGAAAGGGGAGAGUUAUGAGCUGUAACAGUGCGAAAAAAGCAUUGAAGCCGAGCAACCAGGGCCAUCUAUCCUCUGUGCCAAGUAACUCUCUGUAAGGAGACGGUCAAUGAAUAAGUGGGGAUUUGAGUUAAAUUUGUUGUUAUAUAUCACAUUUUUCGGAUGAUCGGUCCCUAUAUAGAUUUUUUUCUAUGGGGCCACAUUUAACAAUGUAUAUCUUAUUUUUCCUAGCGACAGGACUAACUUGAUUGGUAGCCCGACUAAUUGAUCAUGAAAAAAUCGUUCUCAAUACACCUGUACAAAGAAGUCACUGUGAGCUGAUGCCUAUAGCCACGGGACCAGAGACAACCAAGGAUUAACCCUUUGAAGCGGAAGUAAAUUGUUUUAAAGAGUAUUUAACAGGAGUCCUGAGGGGGACUUGCAUAUUUCGCCCAUCCCUGUUUAAAUGGUUCAUCAAUUGCUAAUUUUUUUCCACCACUUGCUAAGGCUAAGUUCUAAGGCCACAUCCAUGUUUUUACACUCCCCUGUCGGGGCUCGUGAGGGGGAAUGAGGGGAAUAGGUACCGUUCUCGCACACAUAUAAUUGUUUGUAUUAGUCUAACACAUUCAUCUAACUAUAGUGUAGGCAGACUUGACUCCAUGCCCUUGGACAUAGUAAAGUGAAUCACCUUAUCAGGGCUCAUGAGGGGGAAAUGGAAAAAUGGUACCGUUUCUCGUAGGCACCGUCUAAUUGUUUGCAUUACUCUAACACACGUAAUACAAUCAAUCAGGGAAUAGUAUCUUUUCUUAUAUGUAUUGUAGGAUUGUUUGUACUACUCUAAAAUACCUAAAUAAAUAGCACACCAUAGUUUAAUGAAAAGAAGCAGAAUAGAUACACAACGCCAUCUUAUCACAGAAGCCCAACGUGUGCGUCACGAGCAAGAUUGACGCACGAACUAUCGCAAUCAGUUCUCCUGGCCACUCCAAGGACAAAGAGCAGGGUGCUCUCGCCCAGCCUGGAUAACGAGCUGAUAGCGGGCGCUUGGAACGUCAAGACCAGCGUCGGUCGCUGUGGCAACCACAUCCAAUCCACGCAAGAACCUAAACCCUCCAAAACCGGCCAGAGGGAUGAUCUCGAAACAACCCCAAGCCACACCUUCGGCCUGGCCCACUCCACCACAGACUUCAAAAAGACUGAACACUGAGAUAACAAACGUUGUUCGCUACUCAGAAACAUUUUUCUAUGUAGGCUUGUUUUGGAUCCAGAAUUGUCCCUCCGUAGUCUGUUUUUGCCUUGUUUUUGACCAUUGUCAACGAAUAAAUUGUCAACCUGCUUUCGGUGAGUCUUCUUCAAACUUUUGGAACAUGGAGUCAAAGGGUUAACCUAAGCGGUGAACGCGCAGAAUAUCCGCCCUCCCGGUUGGCGCAUGGAAGCGGUAAGCAGCGCAGCACCAUUUCCGUUCGGCUGUCGCGGUUUCCGUGCAGCUUGGCCGGGGGGGCGAAUUCCAACACACCUGAGUAUACAGCUGUGCUCAAAGUUAUUCCACCUC